UCGCGUGCUCUGGGGUCGGUGAAACUCCGAACCGGCGGUGAAAGUCCGCGACCCGGUCACAUCCAGUGCCCGGUUGACCAGGUGGAACUCCUGGACCGACGGUCAAAGUCCGGAUGGGAAGCGCACGCGA
rfam:Isoptericola variabilis 225, complete genome.